UCUCCUGGGAAACGGGUGGUAAUGCCGGAUGCUCCAUCAGACCGCAUGGUCUUCUGGGAAAGCCUUUGCGGCAUGGGAUGGGGUCGCGUCCUAUCAGCUUGAUGGCGGGGUAACGGCCCACCAUGGCUUCGACGGGUAGCCGGCCUGAGAGGGCGACCGGCCACAUUGGGACUGAGAUACGGCCCAGACUCCUACGGGAGGCAGCAGUGGGGAAUAUUGCACAAUGGGCGCAAGCCUGAUGCAGCGACGCCGCGUGAGGGAUGGAGGCCUUCGGGUUGUAAACCUCUUUUGUUAGGGAGCAAGGCAUUUUGUGUUGAGUGUACCUUUCGAAUAAGCACCGGCUAACUACGUGCCAGCAGCCGCGGUAAUACGUAGGGUGCAAGCGUUAUCCGGAAUUAUUGGGCGUAAAGGGCUCGUAGGCGGUUCGUCGCGUCCGGUGUGAAAGUCCAUCGCUUAACGGUGGAUCCGCGCCGGGUACGGGCGGGCUUGAGUGCGGUAGGGGAGACUGGAAUUCCCGGUGUAACGGUGGAAUGUGUAGAUAUCGG
rnacentral:rRNA from 1 species